UGGGGACCCGGGACGACGAGUACGACUACCUAUUCAAAGGGUGCUCAUCGGGGACUCAGGCGUGGGCAAGAGCAACCUGCUGUCGCGCUUCACCCGCAACGAGUUCAACCUGGAGAGCAAGAGCACCAUCGGCGUGGAGUUCGCCACCCGCAGCAUCCAGGUGGACGGCAAGACCAUCAAGGCGCAGAUCUGGGACACCGCUGGCCAGGAGCGCUACCGCGCCAUCACCUCCGCUACUACCGUGGUGCAGUGGGCGCCCUGCUGGUGUACGACAUCGCCAAGCACCUGACCUAUGAGAACGUGGAGCGCUGGCUGAAGGAGCUGCGGGACCACGCAGACAGCAACAUCGUCAUCAUGCUGGUGGGCAACAAGAGUGACCUGCGCCACCUGCGGGCUGUGCCCACUGACGAGGCCCGCGCCUUCGCAGAAAGAACAACUUGUCCUUCAUCGAGACCUCAGCCUUGGAUUCCACUAACGUAGAGGAAGCAUUCAAGAACAUCCUCACAGGAUCUACCGCAUCGUGUCACAGAAACAGAUCGCAGACCGCGCUGCCCACGACGAGUCCCCGGGGAACAACGUGGUGGACAUCAGCGUGCCGCCCACCACGGACGGACAGAAGCCCAACAAGCUGCAGUGCUGCCAGAACCUG
rnacentral:lncRNA from 1 species